CAACUGGCCGCCUUCGCGCCACUUUCCUGCGCCCGCAAUCUUCUUCAAGCGGACGCAUCGGGACCGCACGUUCACUCGCGGUCAGCCCCGGUCACGUCUCGUCCUUCGUUUUUUUUUUUUGGUCUCUCCGCGGGUCCAAAAGUUUGCGGAAUUGUUGCGCGUUUCGUCCGCUUUUUGUCGGCGACGGCGGAGUGCACGCCAGUCCAGAGCAAGUAGCGAAGAUGGUGGAUUUCGGCUGGGCCACUCUGGAGUGGAGGCAGCAGCAGCAGCACCACCACGAGCUCGUUCCCACCAAGACCCUGAUCAGUCUGUGUAUUGUCAAAGUGCUUACAGUGCAGGUAGUUCUGUGCAAAACCUACUGCAGUGGAGGCACUUAAAGCAAUCUGCAGACACGCGCGCCUCCAGUCGCCCUCAUCUUGCAUGUGUCUUUUGCAGAACUGUCUUUGUGCUAAGGUGCAUCUAGUGCAGAUAGUGAAAUAGACUAGCACCUACUGCCCUAAGUGCUCCUUCUGGCAUAAGGGGCUGUGAUAUGCGCCACCAGACCAAUCCUAAUUUCUAAUUGGGCUCAAAAUGUCUUGCAGUUCUCUGCUAGUUUUGCAUAGUUGCACUACAAGAAUAGAUGAGUUGUGCAAAUCUAUGCAAAACUGAUGGUGGCCUGCUUGCUCUCCACCUGUUUGGAUCUUUGGUUUUUGGAUGUGGCAUCCCCAGAAAUCUCAAUAAAUGCUUUCUUGUGCCGAGUGCAAUGGCAGAAUUGUUUUUUUAGGUCUCCUCAAGAUGCUCCGUGGGUUCAGCAGUACUAAAGUGCUUAUAGUGCAGGUAGUGCUCUUCUUCAAUCUACUGCAAUGUAAGCACUUGAAGUAUUUCUAACUUGGCAGACUCAUUUUGGAAUGCACACGCGCGUGUCCGGCGAUCCAAAGUGACGCCGAUCAUCGCCCGGUCAGUUUUGCUGGUUUGCAUUCAGCUUUAACUGGUGUUUGCUGUGCAAAUCCAUGCAAAACUGACUAGGUGGAUGAAAUAUCGCUUGAAUAUUUUGUGGGAUUCUCACCGUACUUUGUUCAUGUGCUUCUAACGCAGAUUUGUGGAGGUGUCCCUUCUUGCGCAGGUGGGGAUUAGUAGCAAUGCUUUACAUAUAUUUUGGCGGUAUUGCACUUGUCCCGGCCUGUAUCAGAAUGAGGAUAUGGCCACACAGACCUGAACUGUGAUCCCAACUGCUCGUCGUUCGUCACGUGAUGUUUUGAUGUGACCUUGAACAAUUGAACGCGGAUGCAAGUGGCGCAAUGUUUUGGAUGUGUGCUCAUGUGAAUAAAAAUGGUUAAAUCAGAA